rnacentral:rRNA from 1 species
UCUGCAGGUUGAUAUUUAAGUCUUUUGUUAAACCUCCGGGCUCAACCCGGAAUCUGCAAAGGAAACUAUCUAUCUUGAGUAUGGUAGGGGUAAAGGGAAUUUCCAGUGGAGCGGUGAAAUGCGUAGAUAUUCGCAAGAACACCAGUGGCGAAGGCGGCUGUCUGGUCCGGUUCUGACGCUGAGGCGCGAAAGCGUGGGGAGCAAACA